GACGAACGCUGGCGGCGUGCCUAACACAUGCAAGUUGAGCGAAGAACCAGGGCUUGCCCUGGGGCAAAGCAGCGCACGGGUGAGUAACACGUGGGUAACCUACCCCGAUAACCGGGACAACCCGGGGAAACUCGUGCUAAUACGGGAUUUACUCCCUGUACUUCGGUUCAGUGCGUAAUGGAAGGGUCGGCCUCCUUAUCGGGAUGGGCGCGCGGCCCACGAGUUUGUUGGUGAGGUAACGGCUCACCGAGACCGCGAUGGGUAGCUGGUCGGAGAGGACGAUCAGCCACACUGGGACUGAGACACGGACCAGACUCCGACGGGAGGCAGCAGUGGGGAAUCUUGCGCAAUGCGCGAAAGCGUGACGCAGCAACGCCGCGUGGGGGAAGAAGGUCUUCGGGUUGUAAACCCCUUCCAGGAGGGACGAAGGUUCGGCGGUGAAUAGCCGUCCGGACUGACGGUACCUCCACAAGAAGCCCCGGCUAACUACGUG
rnacentral:rRNA from 1 species